GACGAACGCUGGCGGCGUGCCUAAUACAUGCAAGUCGAACGCAGUGGGGACGGGUGAGUAACACGUGGGUAACCUCCCAUCAGAGGGGAUAACACUUGGAAACAGGUGCUAAACCCAUACUGAUGGAUGGACCCGCGGUGCAUUAGCUAGUUGGUGAGGUAACGGCUCACCAAGGCCACGAUGCAUAGCGGGGCGGAGAGGGUGAUCGGCCACACUGGAACUGAGACACGGCCCAGACUCCUACGGGAGGCAGCAGUGGGGAAUAUUGGGCAAUGGACGAAAGUCUGACCGAGCAACGCCGCGUGAGUGAAGAAGGUUUUCGGGUCGUAAAACUCUGUCGGUGAAGAGGCGGUACUCAACGAGAAAGCCACGGCUAACUACGUGCCAGCCGCCGCGGUAAUAC
rnacentral:rRNA from 1 species